rnacentral:lncRNA from 1 species
GAGACGGGCAUUUAGUGUUGCAAGAAACAUCGAUCGUUAGGGUCCCUUGGGGAUGACAGCAACAGGGUCUCGUAGAGACAUGUGUUUGGCAUCACUGGUGGUUACGGUCGCAUGUUGCGAGAGGCAACCUUGUUCACCUAGUGACGGACAUGCAUUGGUUUAUGUUGAUCUGUUUGUACCCGAAUGAAAGUUGCACAGGCUUAAUUGUAAGGCAACUGGUACUGGCAGCCUUAGACCUUUUUGGUCUAGGCAAAUAGUUAGGUCUUGGACCUAAGAGAGUCAGGUGCCAUCGAUGGUUUCCGAUGGAUAAGUUUUGACUUUGUCAGGUUAUAGUUCGGUUCAUUGGGAGGUUGUAGCCUCCGAGGUGAGUGUUGGUACUCUAGCAUAGGAUCACCCCUAUCUGUGAGCAAGUUUCGAGGACGAAACUUUCUUUAAGGGGGGGAU